GAUGAACGCUGGCGGCGUGCCUAAUACAUGCAAGUCGAGCGAACAGACGAGGAGCUUGCUCCUCUGACGUUAGCGGCGGACGGGUGAGUAACACGUGGAUAACCUACCUAUAAGACUGGGAUAACUUCGGGAAACCGGAGCUAAUACCGGAUAAUAUAUUGAACCGCAUGGUUCAAUAGUGAAAGACGGUUUUGCUGUCACUUAUAGAUGGAUCCGCGCCGCAUUAGCUAGUUGGUAAGGUAACGGCUUACCAAGGCAACGAUGCGUAGCCGACCUGAGAGGGUGAUCGGCCACACUGGAACUGAGACACGGUCCAGACUCCUACGGGAGGCAGCAGUAGGGAAUCUUCCGCAAUGGGCGAAAGCCUGACGGAGCAACGCCGCGGGAGUGAUGAAGGUCUUCGGAUUGUAAAACUCUGUUAUUAGGGAAGAACAAAUGUGUAAGUAACUAUGCACGUCUUGACGGUACCUAAUCAGAAAGCCACGGCUAACUACGUG
rnacentral:rRNA from 1 species